CAUAGCCAACAUGCAGACAAGGCAGGAGGGAGUGUUGCAAGGUGCAAUGCCAUGGGUGGUCCUUAAAGAGGAAAGAAUGGCCCAUAGGUUGGGUGUACAUGCAGGUUUAACAUGGAUCAAGAUAAGUCUGGCAUCAGCAUGCAUGGAAUUGGCAUUGGGCUGAGCAACUGACAUGCAAGACCUUAAGCAAGCAUGGUUUGGCAAGACCUGCAAGUAUUUUAGGACCAGAAGGCAAGGCAAAAACCAAGUCAAGGAAGCAGUGAAGUAGUUAAAAUUGUCUGUGGUAAUUAGAUAGCAACCUCAAUUUCCAUGCGUAAGCAUGGUUUGGCAAGACCUGCAAGUAUUUUAGG
rnacentral:lncRNA from 1 species